CAUCAAGUGGUAGUGCUUACCUAUGAAGCGAUCUUAAAUACUUCAUACAGAAUUAGUCGACACCCUUUGUGUAGUUCUCUCUUGUAACAUUCUCUCGACACUGCAAGUAGUAGGUCAAGUCUACUUAGGAUCCAUCUAUGGAGACCACAAAGGAGCACCAAGUAUCAUAGAAAGUGUGAUGCCUGUUGACCUAUCAAAGCAAGGCAAUAAGAAACCGAGGUCCUAAGAUAAGACUUAUUUUUCACCUUAGAAUAUACGAUGGUUUAUCAUGUGACAAAAUGCAGAACCUGAAGGACGGAUAUAACACCAUACCAUUAUGGUCAAUUUCUCAAGACCCCUUGGAUUGCUUUCUCAGGUGGUGUUCAAGAAUUUUCUCCUAGAUAAAUUUUUUGUCUUUUAGCUUAAGUCUCACACUUUUACUGAGAUAACUAAGGUUAUUCUUAAUCUAUCCUUUCCAAUCGUUAUGUUGAUUCUCUCCCUGUUCCUCGGAAUCUCCAAAAGUGCAGCGUGUUAUUAGACUGGUAAUCAUUGAAGGAAAUCUCUAAAGAUUGUUCUGAUCUGGCAAGAUGAAGUUCGUAAACGAGAGUUUUGAAAAUAAGCCAACACUUGGUUUAAGUGGGGUAGCGGCAGCUACGAUCAUCACUCUGGAAAGUCUCAACUUAGAAGACAUGGAGAACUAUAAAUUGAUCUUUAUCAUCCUUGCAAUGAGCCCGUAUCAUUUUUUGUCAUCGUGUGAUUUUGGAUCUUACAUCUCAUAGGACCACAAAUGAUUAAGCGUGAAGAUUAAAAAAAUCUAAGUCUUUGUCAACUUUUGAUCAUUCUUUAUCCUUUCAUCUACUAUCUUAUACAUAUUUGGAAUCAAGGAAAUUGUGAGCACUAUAAUAUCUAUCUUUGUCUCCUAUGUAUCAUCUCUUGUUAAUAUUGGCUUCUUGCCCUUGCACCAUAUCAUAAUUCAGGAUCCAAAGAUCAGUUCUUAUCUCAUAUGUUUAUUUUUUUCCUUGUCUUCAAUUUUUACCAUACUCUAUAUCCUUUAUGUCUAUUUUUAAUCCUUUAAUCACGUCUUGAAAGUCUCAAAACAACUUUGAUGAUCUACUUUAUCUUUCUCUCUAGUUUCUUCAAAUCUCGGGACGACAUUUAUGUUAAGUGGGGUAGAUCUAUAACACUCCAAAAUUUUUAAUUUUGGAUUGUUAUUAGAAAACACUAAAUUAAAUAAGGAUUUAAAAUUUUUCUAAAAUAUUCCAAGAUUUAUUUAAUUAUUGAAUUAAAAAAAGAGAGAAAAAAAUGUGGAAUUUUUAAAAAAAAUUAUAAAAAUAAGUGAUGAGUGUUUUAUUUGUUAUGUGCUUUGUGCCC
rnacentral:lncRNA from 1 species